rnacentral:rRNA from 1 species
GAACGCUGGCGGUGUGCUUAACACAUGCAAGUCGAACGGGCAAGAGCUGUAGCAAUACAGAAUUCUGCUAGUGGCAAACGGGUGAGUAAUACAUGGGAAUCUACCUUGCAGUGCGAAAUAACAGUUGGAAGCAAUUGCUAAUGUCGCAUAUAGCCGAGAGGUGAAAGAUUUAUCGCUGCAAGACGAGCCCAUGCAGGAUUAGCUAGUUGGUGGGGUAAUGGCUCACCAAGGCGAUGAUCAGUAGGGGUUCUGAGAGGAUUGGCCCCCACAUGGGUACUGAGAUACGGAC